GCCUGGAGGGAGGAGCCGGGCGCGCAGGAUCGGGCGCGCGGGGUCCGAGCGGGGAGCCCGCGCCCUGCGGCUGGCGGGCGGCGGCGAUGAAGAUCUGGAGCUCGGAGCACGUGUUCGGCCACCCAUGGGACACCGUCAUCAAAGCUGCCAUGAGGAAGUACCCGAAUCCAAUGAACCCCUGUGUCGUGGGAGUUGACGUGCUGGAGCGCAGUGUGGACAGCCGGGGCCGGCUUCACAGCCACCGCCUCCUCAGCACCGAGUGGGGGCUACCCGGCUUCGUGAAAGCGAUUUUGGGAACCAGUAGGACUUUGACAUACAUCAAAGAACAUUCUGUUGUGGAUCCAGUAGAAAAGAAAAUGGAACUUUGUUCCACCAACAUCACACUCACAAACCUGGUGUCGGUGAACGAGAGGUUGGUGUACACUCCGCAUCCAGAGGACCCUGAAAUGACUGUGCUCACACAAGAAGCCAUCAUCACUGUGAAGGGGAUCAGCCUCGGCAGCUAUCUGGAGAGUUUGAUGGCCAACACGAUAUCAUCCAAUGCAAAGAAGGACUGGGGAGUAAGGUCUGUGGAGGUGGCAGGAGAAAGGUGGGACCCCAGGUCCCUAGCGGGAGGGCUGCCUUCGUGAGGCAGACACUGCUCACGGAGUCCAGGUUGUCCUCCUUCCAGCAGAGCGAGCCAUGGAAAGAGCUUGGAUGUGUGGCAGCCAUUGCACGAGUUCAAGGGGUGGGCUGCUAUUGAGUGGAUAAUUGAAAAUUCUGAGCGCGCUGUGAGCUAACGGGGUCUGCACCUGCACCUUAUGAUGAACAGUGGUAACUAUAGUGCUCUUUAACCCCAUAGAGAAUUUAGCAUCUUGCUAACCAUGUGCAUGGUGUGCGGCGCUGGGUGUUUCAAGGUGCGGCUGCAUGCGUCUCCAGCCCUGUGCUCCUUAGUAUCUUCUGGAAUGGAAACCGCCAUUAGUUUAUCCUCCUCCUAAUUCAUCUCCUUGUUUCAUGGCAGGAUUUAUUUCCCAGGAAGACUUGGAUAUUGGUUAUCUGGUCUCCAAGAGAGGCAGUUCAGCAUCUCCCAAGCUGUUCUCAGUACCUGCUUGCUUAAACAUUUCCUAGAAUUAGUGUAUCAUCAGAAAAGAGGCUUUCACGAGUAGUUCCAGACCGAUCAGAUGGGAGGGUUUUUUCAUUUUGGGCAGGAUCUGAAUAUUUGCACAUGUUCUUAUAAAGAAUGCCCUGUGCCCUUGCAUCAGCGCUGUGGGGCUGGGGGGAGUCCUGCUCCUCACUUGCUGUAGGCCAGCACCCAGCCAUGUGACUGCCACUGGCUCCUUUCUUUUAGUGGCAAAAGCCAUUUCUAGCAUCUUCUUGAGCUUCACAAACAUUCCUUGGUUUCCUAGUGGCUGGACUGUUAGAAAGGGAUUUGACACUUAAUUGGUCAACAGUCAUCUUCAUACUUCAUAGGAAAGUCAGAGAGUUUCCUGCUUCCCUCUGUUUAGGGAAUCCUAAUACUCCUGCCUUGAAACCCUCACCCUGUUGACCUUCCAUACUGUGCUGCUCUGGGCCCCGCUUCCCACGGUUGGUCUGUCUGUCUGUCUGCAGCAUGUGUGUACACACUCGGUGCCUCAGUCAGCAAACGGGAGCCGUGUGGCUCAGCCUCCUUUAAGAACUUCCUGCUGAAGCUUAAGUUUGCAGAAGACCUUCACCUUGAACCCAAGGUCACGAUCUGCCGCUGGCUCUCUCUUCUUCCACGGAUGCACCAGUAAGGUGACCACAUGUAGAGAGCCCGCCUGCCUGGUGAGCAUAGUGUGUGUGGGCAGUGUGGCGUGUGUGAUGUGUCACUCUGAGCUGUGGACUCUGUCACAUUCUCUUUCCUCAUAAACUAGGGCUAAACUGCCUCAGUCUUUAAUCAGAUGCCUCACCCAAAAAAAUUAAAGAAGAAAGAAAGAAAGAACAAAAGAAAAAAAGGAAGGAAGAAGGAAAGGAAGAAAUAAGCGAGCCUUGAAUAUGGUUCGCCCCGUCUGGGAGAGGUGUGGAAUCUGCUGGAAUCUGCCCCUUGCCUGGUCACAGCCUCCACCGGGCUUUUCGGCCGUGACCUCUCAAGACAGGAGGCCCGUCUGUUGCAGAGUGAGACCCAAAGAAGGGAAGACCCCUAGGAGGGCGAGGGCCGCAAAGCUGCCACGCCACCGCUGCCCACAGGCCAGCCACCCCCGGGCCAGUGUUGUCAGAUUGCUCUUGUGCCUUGUGUGUCUUCCCCUGGGCAGCAGCUCCCAGCAAUUUUCUGCUGACUCUUGGGAUCUUUCUAAACAACUCCGCUCUUUCCUGAUGACUCCCCGUUUCCCUCCCAUGCCCCUUGGCCAACCGUCUGCACUGCCAGUCUCUUCACACAUAUCUGGCCACCGUUGGUCACGUCAGAUGCUGCCGCCGUGCAACCUUCUCACCACUGUUAGUGCAGGUCUGCACACGUUGGAAUAGGGGCGUCCACCCCCACAGUGACGUGUGUGGUGAUGGUACCGUGAGCUCUCCCACCACACAGUUGGAAUUGGUCAAGGGAGCAAAGCGCUCUGCCCUCAGGCUGUGGCUGGCUUGUCCUGGGUUCUGGGACCAGCGACCUCCGGGGCUGAAGGCUUGUGUUACUUGUCACUGUUCACACCCAUCCAUGGGGAGGCUCAUGCACAUGGAGCCACUGUGAUGAGAUGGUGGCGAAAGUGUUUGUGAGCUUGAGCUGUCCCGUUAGUUUUAAGGUACUUCCAGGUGGGAAUUUGAACUUUCCUGUUUUCACAAGGAGAAUGUAAAAUCUUUCAGUCUGCUUUGAAUUCUAAACACUUCAGAGAAGGCCUCCCCGAUAAAGGAUGAGUAGAACUGUGUUCUACCGGUUUUUUAGAUAGUGCUUUUUGUUUGAUAAUAGUAUUUCUAAUCUAAAAUGAAAUGAUAUUCAUUUAUAUUUUUACCAGAAUAUUUUAUGCUUAUAGCUCCUGGUAAAACUGAGUUAAAAGAUUUAUGGUAAAAUAACCCCCCUUACUCCUUCUGCAAAGCACAUUUCUACGCUUCUGAGGGGAUGCUCAACUCUUUUGGCAGUUUUUGGCUUUUACUGCUAGAUUUCUAAAUAAGCAUAUCCUGCUAUUUCUUGAUUUGCCAAUUUUAGACAUUAUCUAGAUAUUACUUACCUUUUUGCUAAAGUAUUAUUUUAUCUCUUUUAUCUCUUCCUCCCCACUCCUAUUCCCCCAAAAUAGCUAUAUUGUUUAUGGUUGAAAGCACAUUCAGAGUUUCCAUAAUUCUGAAAAUACAAAUACAUCGCUAUUGCUUAUUGCCAAGCCAUAAUUACAUUUUCUUUCUUAUGCAACUUUUCCCCCCUUGGGGAUAAUAAUUGUCUUAUUCUUUUCAUUUAUUUAAUUAUAUUUUUAAAGGUCUCUGGCUGAGUCCUUCCACACUCUUCAUCGCUCUCUGCAGUACCUUGUGACGUCAUUUUCCACAGGUCAGUCUUUUUGGGCAGCACACACCCUCCCAGUUUCCCUAGCGCCAUCCUUUCUGGAAGUCAGGCCUUACUCUCUGACCAUGUGGCUGUCAUCCCUUUUUGUGGGCAUUUCUGGACAUUUCCUUGAUCUUCUCCUCUCCUGGAGCCCUUCUUUCCCUGCUUCCCUGCCUUCCUCUUUCUCUUUCCUCUCAUGGGAUGGGGAAGAACAUCUCAUCAUGGCUUCUCAGACUUGGCAGAUCUGAAAAUGGCUCUUCUAUUCUCAUACUUCGUCAAUAGCAUCGCUGGACAUAUAAUUCUAAAAAAAACCCAAAAAAACAAAAAACUUUCACUCAGAAUUUUGAAGGCAUUGUUCUGUUGUUUUCCACUCAGAUUAUCGAUUCUCUAUAUGUGACUUCUUUUUUCUCUCUCUGAAAGCUUUUUGGAUCUCUUUAUCCAUGAUGUUAUGAAAUUUCAUGCGGUUAAGUCUCAUUUGAAGUGAACUUUUAAAAUUCAUUGUGCUGCACUGUGCAUAUUAAAUUCCUGGUUUUGAUAUUGUAUUAUAAUUAUGCAAGAUGUUAUUGGGGGGAGUGGGUAAAGGGUACAUGGGACAUUCCUGUACUAUCUUUGCAGCUUCCUUUGAAUCUAUUAUAAUUUCAAAAUUAAACAUUAAAAAAAUAUAAAUAGUAACAUCAUGGAAAAUGGUAGAGGCAGGUGCUCCCAGAAUUGGUCCCUCCACUGAAAUAACCAAUAAGCUGGCAAAAAAUGACAGAAUCAAAUUCUGUAGAACCAUGGAUUCUAAUAGAAUACUUCAGCCAGGGGAGCACUUAGUGAAUCUAAGUCCUAUCUAACCUACCCUGCAGAUUUUGGACUUGCCAGCCUCCAUAAUUAUGUCAGCCAAUUGCUUAAAAUAAAUCUCUGUCUAUAUGUACACAUCCUAUUGGUUCUUUUUCUCUGGAGAACCCUAAUACAUUAUUUUUUUUAUUUUUUUAAAGAUUUUAUUUAUUCAUAAGAGACAGAGAGAGAGGCAGAGGGAGAAGCAGGCUCCCUGCUGAGCAGGGAGCCCAAUGCGGGACUCGAUCCCAGGACCCUGGGAUCAUGACCUGAGCCUAAGGCAGACGCUUAACCAUCUGAGCCACCCAGGCGCCCGAACCCUAAUACAUUAUUAAAGCUAAAUUUGUAUCAGUUCAAAUUAGAUUUUUCUGAAUUUAAGAUAUUAAUUAUAAUCACCAGGGUAACCGGUAAGAAAAUAAAACAUCCAGAAAAGAAAUAGGAGGACUCAGAAUGGUAGUGUACCAUUGUGGGAAAAAAAAAAAAAUCAAACACAACAGACAAGGAUGGAAAGAAUUCAUGAACAGAAAAUUAUGAAACUCACAGAAAACAGCUAACAGUGUAAGAAGUUAGUGGUUUUUUUUUUAGCAUUCAUUACUUUAAAGGUAAAUAGAUUAAACAAACCAAUUAAAGGACAGAGAUUGGCAGAAUAGAUGAAAAAACAUGAUCCUACUAUAUAUGCUGUCUAUCAGAGCCUCACUUUAGAUCCAAAGACACAAAUGGCUUGAAUGUGAAAGGAUGGAAAAAGAUAUUCCAAGUAAAUAAUAACCAAAAGAGCUGGAGUGGGCAACUAAUAGCAGACCACAUCUACUUUUGGUCAAAAAUUGUUACAAGAGACAAACAAGGACAUUAUACAUCAAUGAGGUGGUCAAUUCAUCAAGAAGACAAAAGUUAUAACCAUUUACAUACCAAGCGACAGAGCCCCCAAAUAUAUGCAUCAAACAUUAGCAGAACAAAAAGAGAAAGACAAUUCUACAAUACGUGACAAACUACGAGAAACACACAAAUUACCAAAACUGAUUUAAGAAGGAAUAGAAUCUCAACAGGUCUAUGACAGUUAAAGACAUUGAAUCAAUAAUUAAAAACCUUGCAACCAAAGCCUCUCAGAGGGCAGCAUAGGAAGAGCACCCUGCAGUUUGGUGUGAUACCCCAGCAGAUGGGCUGAGGACAGGCGUCUGGCCUGACUGCUGACAGUGCCCAACAGUGGCUCCAGACCCAUAGCAGGCAAAGAGAGCCAUUGCAGUUGACUGAACUGAAGGCAAAUGCAUCUCAGGCACAACAGUAGGACACACAUAGCCCACAUGGGAGACAUCUCUGAAGUGCCUGCUCUGGUGAACAGGAAGCAUUGUGCGGCAGGACACCACAGGUCCUCUUCUUCAUAAGGCCACUACUUUCAAGAUCAAGAGAUGUAGCAGACUUUCCUACCCAUAGAAACAAACACAGACAAAAUGAGGAGAUAGAGGAAUAUGUCCCAAAUCAAGAACAGGACAAAAAUCACAGCACAAGAACUAAAUGAAAUGGAAAUAAGCAAUAUGCCUGAUAAAGAAUUCAAAGUAGUAGUCAUAAAGAUACUACAGGACUUGAGGAGAGGGUGGAGAAUCUCAAUGAGACCCUCAACAAAGAGAUUAAAAAAAAAAAAGAACCAGCUAAAGAUGAACUCAAUAACAGAGAUAACAAAUACACUAGAGAGAAUCAAUAGCAGAUUAGAGGAGGCAGAAGAACAAAUCAGUGAGUUGGAAGACAGGGUAAUGGAAAGCAACCAAGCUGAAUAACAAAAAAAAAAAAGGAAAAAUGAAAAAGAAAAAAUGAGAAUAGGUUAAGGGCACUCAAUGACAUCAAGUGUGAUAAUAUUCACAUUAUAGGGAUCCCAGAAGGAGAAGAGAGAGAGAAGGGGGCAGAAAAUUUAUUUGAAAAAAUAAUAUCUGAAGAUUUCCCUCAUCUGGGGAAGCAAACAGACAGAAGGGACAGAAAAUCCCUUCCUCCCGAGGUGAAGAGAGUACCCAACAAAAUCAACCCAAGGAGGUCCACACCAAGACACUUAAUAAUUAAAAUGGCAAAAGGUAGUGAUAAAGAAUUUUAAAAGCAGCAAGAGAGAAAAAAAAAGUUACAUACAAAGGAAACCCUAUAAGGCUACUAGCUGAUUUUUCAGCAGAAAUUUUGCAGGCCAGAAGAAAGUGGCAUGAUAUAUUCAAAGUAUUGAAAAGAAAAACCCUACAACCAAAAAUACCCAGCAAGGGUAUAAUACAAGGAGCAAUAAAGAGUUUCCCAAACAAAAGUUAAAAGCAUUCACUACUAAACCAGCCUUGUAAGAAAUGUUAAAGGGAAUUCUUUGGGGAAAAAAGUCAUAAUCAGGAAUAGGAAAAUUAUGAAAGGAAAAAAUUUCACAGAUAAAUGCAAACAUAUAAUAAAAGUAGUAGGUUAAUCACUUAUAAAACCAGUAGGGAGUUUAAAGCACAAAAGCAGUAAAAUCAAUAAUAUCUACAAAAAUCAGUCAAGGAGUUCACAAAAGGUAUAAAAUAUGACAUCAUAUACAUAGAACGUGGGGUUGGGGGAGUAAAAAUUUAGUGCUUUUAGAACUUAAGUGACCAUUAACUUAGUAAUAUACAUUGCUGUAUGCAUGUUAUAGUUGAGCCUAAUGGUAACCACAAAUCAAAAAUAUGUAAUAGAUGCACAAAAAAUAAAAAGAAAUCCAAGCAUAACACUAAAGAAAGUCAUCAAACCACAAGGGAAGAGAGCAAGAGAAGAAAGGAACAGAGAACUAAGAAAACAACUGUAAAACAAAUAACAAAAUGGCAACAAAUAAAACCUAUCAAUAAUUACUUUAAGUGUAAAUGGCCUCAUGCUCCAAUCAAAACCAUAAGGUGACUGAAUGGAUAAAAAAGCAAGAUCCAUCUAUAUGCUGCCUACAGCAGACUCACUUCAGACCUACAGACACAUGCAAAUUGAAAGCAAAGUGAUGGAAAAACAUUUACCAUGCAAGUGGAAGCAGAAGGAAGGCUGGAGUAGCAAUACUUAUAUUGGACAAAAUAGACUGUAAAAUAAAGACUGUAACAAAAGACAAUGAAGGACAUUUCAUAAUGAUAAAAAGAUCAAUCCAACAAGAGGAUAUAACAAUUGUAAAAUAUGCAUCCAACAUAGGAGCACUUAAUAUAUAAAGGAAGAAACUGACAGUAAUACAAUAAUGGUAUGGGACUUUAAUACCCCACUUACAUCAAUGGAUAGAUCACCCAGACAGAAAAUCAACAAGGAAACAGCAACCAUUAGACAAGAUGGAGCUAACAGAUGUAUGCAGAACAUUCCAUCUGAAAACACAAUACACAUUCUUUUCAAGUACACAUGGAAUAUUUUCCAGAAUAAAUCACGUUAGGCCACACACAAAAAAACUCAAUAAAUUAAAAAAUUCAAUAAAUUCAAAAAUAUCACUCAUCUUUUCCAACCACAAUGGAAUGAAACUAGAAAGCAAUCACAAGAAAAAAAACUGGAAAGAACACAAAUACAUGAAGAAUAAAUAACAUGCUACUAAACAAUGAAUGGGUCAACCAAGGCAUCAAAGAGGAAUUUAAAAAAUGCAUGGAGAAAAAUGAAAAUGAAAGCAUAGUGGUCCAAAAUCUUAGGGACACAGUAACUCUUCUAAGAGGGAAUUGUAUAGCAAUACAGGCCUACUUCAAGAAACAAGAAAAAGCUCAAAUAAACAACCUAACCUUACACCUAAAGGAAAAAGAAAAAGAACAAAGCCCAAAGCCAGUGGAAGGAAGGAAAUAAUAAAGAUUACAGCAGAAAUAAAUGAAGUAGAGCCUAAAAAUGAAAUAGAACAGAUCAGUGAAAUCAGAGCUGGUUCUUUGGAAAGAUUAAAAAAAAAAUCCAAAAACCUGAUAAACAUUUAGCCAGACUUAUCAAGAAAAAAAAAGGACACAAAUAAAUAAAACCAGAGACGAAGGACAAAACACAACAAUCUCCAGUAACAACAACAGAAGACCAGGACCAGAUGCCUUUACUGGUGAAUUCUACCAAAUAUUAAAGAGUUAGCAAAAAUCCUUAGGAAACUCUUCCAAAAAGAGGAGAGAAUACUUCCUAACUCAUUCUGUGAGACCAAUAUUACCUUGAUACCAAAGUUAGGCAAAGACCCCCAGAAAAUAAAUCUACAGCCCAAUAUCCCUCAUGAAUACUGAUGCAAAAGUCCUCGACAAAAUACUAGCAAGCUGAAUCUAACAGCAUAUUAAGAUGCUAUACACCAUGACUAACUGAAAUUAUACCAGAAAUGGAAGGAUGGUUCAACAUACAAAAAUCAAACAAUGGGGGCGCCUGGGUGGCUCAGUCAUUAAGUGUCUGCCUUCAGCUCAGGUCACAAUCCCAGCGUCCUGGGAUCAAGCCCUGCAUGGGCUUCCCUGCUCCGCGGGAAGCCUGCUUCUCCCUCUCCCACUCCCCCUGCUUGUAUUCCCUCUCUCGCUGUGUCUCUCUCUGUUGAAAAAUAAAUAAAAUCCUUAAAAAAAAAAUCAAACAAUGAUAUGUACCUCAUUAAUAGCACUAAGAGGGAAAAACUCACACGAUCAUCUCAGUUGAUGCAGGAAAAGCAUUUGAAAAAACUUAACACACUUUCAUGAGGAAAACACUAUUCUGGGAAUAGAUACAAGAAUUCUAGAAAUAGUCUAGGUAUAGGAAAGAACUUCUUCUACAUGAUAAAGCGCAUUUUUGAAAAACCCACAGCCAACAUCCUAUGCAAUGAUGAAAGACUGAAAUCUUUCCCCAUAAGAUCAAGAACAAGACAAAGACGCCCACUGUCAUUACUGCUAUUGAACAUUGUUCUAGAAGUUGUAGCCAGAGCAGUUAGACAAGAUAAAGAAGUAUUAGGCAUCCAAAUUGGAAAGGAAGAAGUAAAACUAUCUACAUCCACAGAUGACAUGAUCCUAUAGAUAGAAAACCCAAUAAAGAAAGAAUCCACAAGAAAGCUAAUAAAAGGGGCGCCUGGGUGGCUCAGUUGGUUAAGCGACUGCCUUCGGCUCAGGUCAUGAUCCUGGAGUCUCGGGAUCGAGUCCCACAUCGGGCUCCCUGCUCAGCAGGGGGUCUGCUUCUCCCUCUGCCCUCUUCCUUCUCGUGCUCUCUGUCUCUCAUUCUCUCUCUCUCAAAUAAAUAAAUAAAAUUAAAAAAAAAAAAAGAAAGCUAAUAAAAGAAUUUAGCAAAAUUAAAGGGUAGAAGAUCUACACAUAAAAAUCAGUUGUGUUUCUUUACACUAGCCAUGAUCAACCUGAUAAGAAAAUUAAGAAAACUGUCCAAUUUACAGUUGCAUCCAAAAGAAUAAAAUACAUAGAAAUAAAACAAGAAAGUGAAGGACUGUACACUGAAAAUUAUAAACACUGCAGAAAGAAAUGAAAAAACCUGGGUGGCUCUGUUGGUUGGGUGUCUGACUCUUGAUUUCAACUCAGGUCAUGAUCUUGGGAUCAUGAGAUUGAGCCCUGUGUCAGGCUCCAUGCUCAGCAGAGAAUCUGUUUGGGAUUCUCUCUCUCCCUCUCCCAUUGCCCCCUUCCCCCUGUGUGCACGCUCUCUCUCUCUCUAAUAAAUAAAUAAAUCUUUAAAAAAAGGAAGAAAUGAAAAAAGACAUAAAUGAAUGGAAAGACAUCCCUUGUUCAUGGGUUGGAAGACUAAUAAUUGUUAAGAUGGCAAUACUACCCAAAAUGUUCUAAAGAAUCAAGGCAUUUCUUAUAAAAACUCCUAUAGUUGUUUUUUUUUUUUUU